ensembl:ncRNA M60.12 ncRNA
AGGUCCGCUUGCACCUAUCAUGUGUUCGAUGAGACAGCGGCAUCGGACCUUUGCUUAUUUCUGUCUCGUGCAAUAAUCACCAAACGACACAUGGUGUCAUAAGUUCGAACUGACCAAGGGCAGCAGCUGAGAGCGUUGAUUGGGGCGAGAUCUCGAGCACGGUCUCAAGACGAAGCGUGGCCACAUCAGUUGAAUUGUCUUCGUGACG